rnacentral:lncRNA from 1 species
UCCCUAUCAGGGCUUUUCAGUGACUGGUUACGUUAUGAAUAGAUAGAUAGAACCGGACUGACGUGAAGCAGACCGAUGUGCCUAAGGGACCGGUCAUUAAAUAUGGCAAGGGGGAAUGGAGGAGAAAGUAGGGGGGGGGUCCUGAAUUAUUUUUUCAUUGAGAUGGGAGGUCUUGAAAAUUACAAUAUGUGAAAGAGGGGAGGGGGUCUUCGGAUUUUUCCCAACAAAAUGAUUGUUUCUCGUUAUAUGCUAUGAACAGCCAAAAGAGAUGCAUAAAAUGCCCUUUAAACUGGAACACUAAGUAUUAAAAUAACGAGUAAAGCAUAAAAAACAUAACAUAAAAGUGGAUGUAGGCG